GCUUGAAAUAUCGGUUCUCGUACGAUCACUGAAUUUAAGCAACAUCGAGCCUGGUCAGUACCUCGAUGGGGGACCGCUUGGAAAUACAGGUGCUGUAA